rnacentral:rRNA from 1 species
AGAGUUUGAUUAUGGCUCAGGANNNACGCUGGCGGCGCGCUUAACACAUGCAAGUCGAGCGAUAACCAUGGCUUCGGCCAUGGGGAGAGCGGCGAACGGGUGAGUAACACGUGAGCGAUCUGCCCUCGACACUGGGAUAGCCCGGGGAAACCCGGAUUAAUACCGGAUAGCCUCUCGAGCUCUCGGGCUCGUGAGAAAAGAUGGCUUCGGCUUUCGGUUGAGGAGGAGCUUGCGGCGGAUUAGCUUGUUGGUGAGGUAACGGCUCACCAAGGCGACGAUCCGUAGCUGGUCUGAGAGGACGAUCAGCCACACUGGGACUGAGACACGGCCCAGACUCCUACGGGAGGCAGCAGUGGGGAAUCUUGCGCAAUGGGCGAAAGCCUGACGCAGCGACGCCGCGUGAGGGAAGAAGGCCUUCGGGUUGUAAACCUCUUUCAGGAGGGACGAAGCUACUCGGGUUAAUAGCCCAGAGGGUGACGGUACCUCCAGAAGAAGCCCCGGCUAACUACGUGCCAGCAGCCGCGGUAAUACGUAGGGGGCAAGCGUUGUCCGGAAUCAUUGGGCGUAAAGCGCGUGUAGGCGGCCAGAUAAGUCCGCUGUGAAAUCUCGAGGCUCAACUUCGAGCUGUCGGUGGAAACUGUCUGGCUAGAGUCCGGAAGNNGAGAGUGGAAUUCCUGGUGUAGCGGUGAAAUGCGCAGAUAUCANNAAGAACACCCGUGGCGAAGGCGGCUCUCUGGGACGGUACUGACGCUG